UACGGAGGGGGCUAGCGUUGUUCGGAAUUACUGGGCGUAAAGCGCACGUAGGCGGCUUUGUAAGUUAGAGGUGAAAGCCCAGAGCUCAACUCUGGAACUGCCUUUAAGACUGCAUCGCUUGAAUUGUGGAGAGGUAAGUGGAAUUCCGAGUGUAGAGGUGAAAUUCGUAGAUAUUCGGAAGAACACCAGUGGCGAAGGCGACUUACUGGACACAUAUUGACUCUGAGGUGCGAAA
rnacentral:rRNA from 1 species